rnacentral:sRNA from 1 species
GACUCUAAUCUGGAGACAUUUGCUGAGACCCUUGUGCCUGGUCACCUCCGCUCCCAGGAUCCUUGAGAUGCGUCCUUUCCUGAACCUCCCUUGGCUACAACCGUGUCCUGGAAAUCCACAAGGAACAUCUUUCUCCUGUGGUGACGGCAUAUUUCCAGAAACCCCUGCUGCUUCACCAGGGGCACAUGGAGUGGCUCUUUGAUGCUGAGGGAAACAGAUACCUGGAUUUCUUUUCCGGGAUUGUUACUGUCAGUGUUGGCCACUGCCACCCAAAGGUGAAUGCAGUGGCACAAAAGCAGCUCGGCCGCCUGUGGCAUACAAGCACCGUCUUCUUCCACCCUCCAAUGCAUGAAUAUGCAGAGAAGCUUGCCGCACUUCUUCCUGAGCCUCUUAAGGUAAUUUUCUUGGUGAACAGUGGCUCAGAAGCCAAUGAGCUGGCCAUGCUGAUGGCCAGGGCGCACUCAAACAACAUAGACAUCAUUUCUUUCAGAGGAGCCUACCAUGGAUGCAGUCCUUACACACUUGGCUUGACAAACAUAGGGACCUACAAGAUGGAACUCCCUGGUGGGACAGGUUGCCAACCAGUGAGUUUGGAGAUAUUUCUCUUGUUUCUUCAAAGACCGCUGAGUAUGUGAAGUAGUUGAUCAGGUUUUCCUGGUAUAAGGAUUAGAAACUAAUACAAAGCCUGUCAUUAAUCAGGGGCUUAAUUUGACCUAAUUGAAUUGGAGACCACUUGAGGACACCAUUAGAAAGGCCUUCCAAGUCUGAGUAAUAAUUAAUGACAGAGUUUUAAAAUUUAUUUUGCUUUUAAAUAAAAUCAAGUAAACUGCAAGGCUCUGAUAUUCUUGAAUGCACAAAAUUUCUAUGCAGUCAUCAUUGUACUCACCUUCUGUUCCCACUUACUGUACCCACCUUUUCAGCAUCUGAAUCAGAUACCUAAUUAUUCUUAUUCUUUCAGAUGCCCUUACCCACUGCACCCUUGAGCAAGUUGUUUCCAGGCUAACAUUGAAAUCAGUUUCCUUUGUAGAGGGCC